rnacentral:rRNA from 1 species
UGGGGAAUAUUGGACAAAGGGCGCAAGCCUGAUCCAGCCAUGCCGCGUGAGUGAUGAAGGCCCUAGGGUUGUAAAGCUCUUUCACCGGUGAAGAUAAUGACGGUAACCGGAGAAGAAGCCCCGGCUAACUUCGUGCCAGCAGCCGCGGUAAUACGAAGGGGGCUAGCGUUGUUCGGAUUUACUGGGCGUAAAGCGCACGUAGGCGGACUAUUAAGUCAGGGGUGAAAUCCCGGGGCUCAACCCCGGAACUGCCUUUGAUACUGGUAGUCUUGAGUUCGAGAGAGGUGAGUAGAAUUCCGAGUGUAGAGGUGAAAUUCGUAGAUAUUCGGGGGAACACCAGUCGCGAAGGCGGCUCACUGACUCGAUACUGACGCUGGGGUGCGAAAGCGUGGGGAGCAAACAGG